AGAGUUUGAUCAUGGCUCAGGACGAACGCUGGCGGCGUGCUUAACACAUGCAAGUCGAACGGAAAGGCCCUUCGGGGUACUCGAGUGGCGAACGGGUGAGUAACACGUGGGUGAUCUGCCCUGCACUUUGGGAUAAGCCUGGGAAACUGGGUCUAAUACCGAAUAUGACCAUGCACUUCCUGGUGUGUGGUGGAAAGCUUUUGCGGUGUGGGAUGGGCCCGCGGCCUAUCAGCUUGUUGGUGGGGUAAUGGCCUACCAAGGCGACGACGGGUAGCCGGCCUGAGAGGGUGACCGGCCACACUGGGACUGAGAUACGGCCCAGACUCCUGCGGGAGGCAGCAGUGGGGAAUAUUGCACAAUGGGCGCAAGCCUGAUGCAGCGACGCCGCGUGAGGGAUGACGGCCUUCGGGUUGUAAACCUCUUUCAGCACAGACGAAGCGCAAGUGACGGUAUGUGCAGAAGAAGGACCGGCCAACUACGUGCCAGCAGCCGCGGUAAUACGUAGGGUCCGAGCGUUGUCCGGAAUUACUGGGCGCAAAGAGCUCGUAGGUGGUUUGUCGCGUUGUUCGUGAAAACUCACAGCUUAACUGUGGGCGUGCGGGCGAUACGGGCAGACUUGAGUACUGCAGGGGAGACUGGAAUUCCUGGUGUAGCGGUGGAAUGCGCAGAUAUCAGGAGGAACACCGGUGGCGAAGGCGGGUCUCUGGGCAGUAACUGACGCUGAGGAGCGAAAGCGUGGGGAGCGAACAGGAUUAGAUACCCUGGUAGUCCAA
rnacentral:rRNA from 1 species